rnacentral:rRNA from 1 species
UCUCUCUGAAUCUGCGAACGGCUCCGCACACCAGUUGCAAACUAUAGCAAGCAAGCCCGUCGUUUCGCCGCAAGGUGGGCGGCGGGUAGAUGGAUAACCCUGGUAAUUCUGCGGCUAAUACAAGAACGCACAACCUUGUCGACCGGGUAACUGGAAGGCGGGGGGGCGUGCUCUUUAAGUUGCAAGUAUAACCGGGAAAGGGGGCACGUCAUGACCACGCUAAAACGGAAAGUUGGUUCACUCCUUCUCUCUAGCGGCUCUUGCUGUCUACUUCUGACCUAUCAACUAGAUGGCAGCGUAAGGAACAUGCUAUGGUUACAACGGGUACAGAGGAUUAGGGUUCGAUCCUGGAGAGUGGGCCUGAGAGAUUGAGC